rnacentral:rRNA from 1 species
ACAAUGGGCGCAAGCCUGAUCCAGCAAUGCCGCGUGAGUGAUGAAGGCCUUAGGGUUGUAAAGCUCUUUCGGCGGGGACGAUGAUGACGGUACCCGCAGAAGAAGCCCCGGCUAACUUCGUGCCAGCAGCCGCGGUAAUACGAAGGGGGCGAGCGUUGUUCGGAUUUACUGGGCGUAAAGGGCGCGUAGGCGGCUCUUCAAGUCAGGCGUGAAAGCCCCGGGCUCAACCUGGGAACAGCGCUUGGGACUGGAGGGCUCGAGUUCGGGAGAGGAGAGUGGAAUUCCCAGUGUAGAGGUGAAAUUCGUAGAUAUUGGGAAGAACACCGGUGGCGAAGGCGGCUCUCUGGACCGAGACUGACGCUGAGGCGCGAAAGCGUGGGGAGCAAACAGGAUUAGAUACCCUGGUAGUCCACGCUGUAAACGAUGUGUGCUAGACGUUGGGGAGCGCAGCUCCUCGGUGUCGCAGCAAACGCUUUAAGCACACCGCCUGGGGGAGU